UACGGAGGGUGCAAGCGUUGCUCGGAAUUAUUGGGCGUAAAGGGUAGGUAGGUGGUCUCAUUUGUCUGGGGUGAAAGCCUUGAGCUUAACUCGAGAAGUGCCCCAGAAACGGUGAGACUGGAGUCCUGGAGAGGGUCGUGGAAUUCCCGGUGUAGCGGUGAAAUGUGUAGAGAUCGGGAGGAACACCAGAGGCGAAGGCGGCGACCUGGACAGGCACUGACACUCAACUACGAAAGCGUGGGGAGCAAACAGA
rnacentral:rRNA from 1 species